rnacentral:rRNA from 1 species
UACGUAGGGAGCGAGCGUUAUCCGGAAUUAUUGGGUGUAAAGGGUGCGUAGACGGGAAUACAAGUUAGUUGUGAAAUCCCUCGGCUUAACUGAGGAACUGCAACUAAAACUAUAUUUCUUGAGUGCAGGAGAGGUAAGUGGAAUUCCUAGUGUAGCGGUGAAAUGCGUGGAUAUUAGGAGGGACACCAGUGGCGAAGGCGACUUACUGGACUGUAACUGACGUUGAGGCACGAAAGUGUGGGGAGCAAACAGG